UUUUCGUCACCCUUAAGAGUCGUUUCUAAGUCUUCCUUGCUCAAGUCUUCUUCAGAGAGUUUAUCGUCUUCAUCCACAACAGGCUCAUCCAUUAUGUCAGAAAUAAUGGUUCCAGCAGUAAUUUUUACCAAGUUAUCAUUUGAAGACUCCUCUUCUGUGUGAGCCGAUUUGUCGCCAAUGGUAUUUUGAGGAUUAAUUUCCUGCACAUUGUCCAAAGAAUUACUCUCUAUUAAGUUGCUUUCUUCUUUAACACCUUCUUUAGGCUCAGAGGAAGGCAACUGAAUGUCAAUUUCUGAAACUGACUGUUGAGAGGAGCUAUUGGCUAUGUUGUUUUCAACAAAGGAAUCCAUAGGUUCAAUUGUGCUUUGUUCUUUUCUAGAGGUAGAAAAAAUGGUGUUUUCAUCUGUCACAUCAAUAUCGUCAGCUUCAAAAGACUUGCGUAUAGAAUCAUGCCGUCCUUCAAGAUCAACAGAAGACUCCUUAGGCUCGUGGUCUGAUUCAAUAUCCAUUCCUUGAUACGUUAGUGCCCAAUAUUAUAUUACUAAGACGAAAAAUUUAGCUUAUUUUUUAAACGAAAAAUAGGCAGCAAAGUAUACCAAUAAAUGGAGGAUAAAACAAUGCUCAAAGUUGUAGGAAAAAAAUUGGCC